AUGAAUCACAUGAUACACAUGUCAGUUUUUUGAAUGUUAAUUCCUAUUUUUGAAGCGUCAAAGAAACAGUAUAUAAGCACUGAUCUUAGUGCUGUUUAGCACCUUCUCACUGGACGGCUGAAGCUAUCGAGAUAUUAAAGAUCACCAUGAGGCUGCUGACCGUGUUUGUGUUUCUUUGUGUAAUGGUCCCUCUGAUCAUUACUGCUCAAAAAUCGGGCAGCAGUGGGGCAGAGAAUAAUCCACAAGAAGAGCAAGCUGUUGACAAGAGGAUCCUGUGGUAUUGGCGCAAAACUUAUCGUUGCGUUAAAUGGCGAUGGGUAUGGAGAAAGCGAUGGGGGAAAGACGUGAACGAAUAAUAUAUAUAUGCUCACCACUGAUACCGAUUUUGUCUGGGUCUGAAAAAGAAGAUGAUUCCUGGUCUUUCAUGAAAAUGGUCCAUCAGACAGAGAAGCAAAUACUUUCAUCCAACUCCCUGAACUAUCAGUUUCCCCUUUUACAUCUUUACUUAUUUUCUUUUGCUGUAUUGCUGCAUAAAGAAUGAAGCAACAAGUGACACAAACUGGAGUCGACCGGACUGUCUCUUUUAAUAACAAAAACUAUUCAUUUCUGUUCUUAUUAUCUUCAUCAUUAAACUCUUAAGCAUUAAAUGAAA